rnacentral:rRNA from 1 species
UACAGAGGUCUCAAGCGUUGUUCGGAUUCAUUGGGCGUAAAGGGUGCGUAGGCGGCGCCGUAAGUCAGGUGUGAAAUUUCGGAGCUUAACUCCGAAACUGCAUUUGAUACUGCGGUGCUUGAGGACUGGAGAGGAGACUGGAAUUUACGGUGUAGCAGUGAAAUGCGUAGAGAUCGUAAGGAAGACCAGUGGCGAAGGCGGGUCGUCUGGACAGUUCCUGACGCUGAGGCACGAAGGCCAGGGAGCAAACGGG